CAAAGGAAUUGACGGGCCCCGCACAAGCAGCGGAGCGUGUGGUUUAAUUCGAUGCUACACGAAGAACCUUACCAGGGUUUGACAUACAAGUAGUAGGGAAAGGAAACUGGACCGACCCUUCGGGGAGCUUGAACAGGUGCUGCAUGGCUGUCGUCAGCUCGUGUCGUGAGAUGUUCGGUUAAGUCCGCUAACGAGCGCAACCCUCGCUGUGUGUUACAAGUGUCACACGGAACUGCCGGUCAUAAACCGGAGGAAGGUGGGGAUGACGUCAAGUCAGCAUGGCCUUUAUAUCCUGGGCUACACACACGCUACAAUGGGAAGGGACAAUAGGUUGCGAAACCGCGAGGUGGAGCCAAUCCAGCAAAACUUCCCUCAGUUCAGAUUGCAGGCUGCAACUCGCCUGCAUGAAGUUGGAGUUGUUAGUAAACGCAGGUCAGCCAUACUGCGUUGAAUACGUUCCCGGGGCUU
rnacentral:rRNA from 1 species